UACGUAGGGUGCGAGCGUUGUCCGGAAUUAUUGGGCGUAAAGAGCUUGUAGGCGGUCUGUCGCGUCGAUCGUGAAAACUUGGGGCUUAACCCUGAGCUUGCGGUCGAUACGGGCAUGACUGGAGUUCGGCAGGGGAGACUGGAAUUCCUGGUGUAGCGGUGAAAUGCGCAGAUAUCAGGAGGAACACCAAUGGCGAAGGCAGCUCGCUGGGACGGUACUGACGCUGAGACGCGAAAGCGUGGGGAGCAAACAGG
rnacentral:rRNA from 1 species